AUGUUAAAGUGGCAGUUGUCUGUAACAAAAGAAUUUUGCAGAUAUACAAAUAAAGCUCAAAGCAGAAAAGCAGUUCAGUGCCUCAGCGGAGGGGUUUCUGAGUGGAAAGAAAUGUGGGAAAUGAGCACUGGUCUUUCAAAUUGUGCACAAUUGUGUGCAUGUGUGUGCGCGCUUGGUUUCCAGGAGUUUAGCAACGAGUGCCUGAUGCCAAUCCUAUUUCAUCUACUCAAGUUAUCAAUAUUGUUGUCUGUCUUGGAACAGAUUUUCCACAAAAGAAAACUCAGUUGUGUCAAGGCCAAAAGGAAGAUUCAAAGAAGUCUGAAGAUAAGUAGUCAGGUCAUCUAAUUUAUCUCCUCUGCGCUGACUUUUGUUCAUCAGUUGAGUUGCUGCUUUAUAGAUGAGACAGUCCAGAGAACAUCAUACAGGAGUCACUGCCUACUGUAAGGUACUAUACUUCAAUUUUAAUGAAGUAUUAUGGGAGUCUUAGUUUUAAAAACUUCAUUCAUUACUGUUAGGAUAAUAAGAAUAAUAUAAUAAAAGUAAUUUAUCUGGAUCA
rnacentral:lncRNA from 1 species